rnacentral:rRNA from 1 species
AGAGUUUGAUCCUGGCUCAGAACGAACGCUGGCGGCGUGCCUAAUACAUGCAAGUCGAACGAGAAAGCAUCCUUCGGGGUGUUAGUAAAGUGGCAGACGGGUGAGUAAUACGUAGGUAAUCUGCCUCCGAGUGUGGAAUAACCUUCCGAAAGGGGGGCUAAUACCGCAUAAGACCACAGCCACCACGGUGGCAAGGGACAAAGGUGACCUCUACUUGUAAGUUACCGCUUGGAGAUGAGCCUACGCACCAUUAGCCUGUUGGUGGGGUAACGGCCUACCAAAGCUACGAUGGUUAGCUGAUCUGAGAGGUUGAUCAGCCACACUGGAACUGAGACACGGUCCAGACUCCUACGGGAGGCAGCAGUAGGGAAUUUUGCGCAAUGGGGGAAACCCUGACGCAGCGACGCCGUGUGAGCGAUGAAGGCCUUCGGGUCGUAAAGCUCUGUCAGAGGGGACGAAAAACAACGUGGCUAAUAUCCACGUUGUAUGACGGUACCUUCAGAGGAAGCACCGGCUAACUACGUGCCAGCAGCCGCGGUAAUACGUAGGGUGCUAGCGUUGUUCGGAAUCAUUGGGCGUAAAGCGCGUGUAGGUGGUUAUGCAAGUCGGGUGUGAAAGCCCUCGGCCCAACCGGGGAAGUGCAUUCGAAACUACAUAGCUAGAGGACGGUAGAGGGAGGUGGAAUUCCUAGUGUAGAGGUGAAAUUCGUAGAUAUUAGGAGGAAUACCGGCGGCGAAGGCGGCCUCCUGGGUCGUUCCUGACACUGAGACGCGAAAGCGUGGGUAGCAAACAGGAUUAGAUACCCUGGUAGUCCACGCCGUAAACGAUGAGUACUAGGUGUUGUAGGUAUUGACCCCUGCAGUACCGCAGCUAACGCAUUAAGUACUCCGCCUGGGAAGUACGGUCGCAAGAUUAAAACUCAAAGGAAUUGACGGGGGCCCGCACAAGCGGUGGAGCAUGUGGUUCAAUUCGAUGCAACGCGAAAAACCUUACCUGGGUUUGAAAUCCCCGGACAACCCUAGAGAUAGGGCUUUCUCUUCGGAGACCGGGUGACAGGUGCUGCAUGGCUGUCGUCAGCUCGUAUCGUGAGAUGUCGGGUUAAGUCCCUUAACGAGCGCAACCCUUAUUCUUAGUUGCCAUCAUUUAGUUGGGAACUCUAAGGAGACUGCCGGUGUUAAACCGGAGGAAGGUGGGGAUGACGUCAAGUCCUCAUGGCCCUUAUGUCCAGGGCUACACACGUGCUACAAUGGCCGGUACAGAGGGAUGCCAACCCGCGAGGGGGAGCUAAUCUCAGAAAGCCGGUCUCAGUUCGGAUUGGAGUCUGCAACUCGACUCCAUGAAGUUGGAAUCGCUAGUAAUCGCGAAUCAGCAGGUCGCGGUGAAUACGUUCCCGGGCCUUGUACACACCGCCCGUCACACCACGAAAGUUAGUUGCACCAGAAGUCGCUGUACCAACCUUCGGGAGGAACGCGCCCAAGGUGCGAUUAAUGAUUGGGGUGAAGUCGUAACAAGGUA